CGAGACCUCAGGUCAGACGGGGCUACCCGCUGAGUUUAAUCAUAUCAAUAAGCGGAGGAAAAAAAACUAACAAGGAUUCCCUUACUAACGGCGAGCGAACCGACGAAUUAUAACUAA
rnacentral:rRNA from 1 species